rnacentral:rRNA from 1 species
ACUCCUACGGGAGGCAGCAGUGGGGAAUAUUGCACAAUGGGCGCAAGCCUGAUGCAGCCAUGCCGCGUGUAUGAAGAAGGCCUUCGGGUUGUAAAGUACUUUCAGCAGUGAGGAAGGUGGGUAUGUUAAUAGCAUACUCAUUUGUACGUUAGCUGCAGAAGAAGCACCGGCUAACUCCGUGCCAGCAGCCGCGGUAAUACGGAGGGUGCGAGCGUUAAUCGGAAUUACUGGGCGUAAAGCGCAUGCAGGUGGUUGUUAAGUCAGAUGUGAAAGCCCGGGGCUCAACCUCGGAAUUGCAUUUGAAACUGGCAAACUAGAGUACUGUAGAGGGGGUAGGAAUUUCAGGUGUAG